rnacentral:tRNA from 1 species
GGUCGGAAGUUCAAGUCUUCCCAGGCCCACCACACUCAUCGAGUGAGCAUUCGUCUUCUGGUUACGGGGCCAUAGCUCAGCUGGGAGAGCGCGUGCUUUGCAAGCAUGAGGUCGUCGGUUCGAUCCCGUCUGGCUCCACCAGAUGGUUUGAUCACCGAGAUCGUGCACCGUCGUCCGCGAAACAUCACUUCGCAUCCUGCUAGUCUGGAUAGACAGCAGAUUGCGUGAUUUCUGACAUCGUAAAGAGGAGAUCGAUCCGAGUUGGAUCGUGCAGCAAGCAAUUGCUACGCGAGACUUCAUUAUCUCCGGAUCAUUUCGGCGCUCGUGCGUCUUCCAAGGCAGCUCACAAGGCUGCAUUGAGAGGCAAGCGAGUUGUAAAUGAUCCUUUUAGCGAAGCUUGACCGCCUCGCUAUCGGAACGAUCUUACGAAGCAAGCUGGUCUUUCUAAUCAUUGUCCGGCUGUACGUAGCGUUCAUCGAGGGCGCGUGCCGUAAGGCAAUCGUACAGACAACAUUCUGCCGAGUGUGUGGACAUUGAUAAUGAGAGC